rnacentral:rRNA from 1 species
UAGGGAAUCUUCCGCAAUGGACGCAAGUCUGACGGAGCAACGCCGCGUGAGUGAAGAAGGAUUUCGGUUCGUAAAACUCUGUUGUUAGAGAAGAACAGCGCAUAGAGUAACUGUUAUGCGUGUGACGGUAUCUAACCAGAAAGCCACGGCUAACUACGUGCCAGCAGCCGCGGUAAUACGUAGGUGGCAAGCGUUGUCCGGAUUUAUUGGGCGUAAAGCGAGCGCAGGCGGUCAAUUAAGUCUGAUGUGAAAGCCCCCGGCUCAACCGGGGAGGGUCAUUGGAAACUGGUUGACUUGAGUGCAGAAGAGGAGAGUGGAAUUCCAUGUGUAGCGGUGAAAUGCGUAGAUAUAUGGUGGAACACCAGUGGCGAAGGCGACUCUCUGGUCUGUAACUGACGCUGAGGCUCGAAAGCGUGGGUAGCAAACAGG